rnacentral:rRNA from 1 species
UUACCUACGGGGGGCAGCAGUGAGGAAUAUUGGUCAAUGGGCGGGAGCCUGAACCAGCCAAGUCGCGUGAGGGAAGACUGCCCUAUGGGUUGUAAACCUCUUUUGUCAGGGAGCAACGCCGGCUACGUGUAGCCGGACUGAGAGUACCUGAAGAAAAAGCAUCGGCUAACUCCGUGCCAGCAGCCGCGGUAAUACGGAGGAUGCGAGCGUUAUCCGGAUUUAUUGGGUUUAAAGGAUGCGUAGGCGGAAUGCCAAGUCAGCGGUAAAAUCGCGGGGCUCAACCUCGCGCCGCCGUGUAAACUGGG